UGGGCAGGCUGGAUGAUCGUGCUUCGAUUUUAUCGAAGUGAGGAAAGUCCGGACUCCGCAGAGCGGCGUGCCUCAUAACGUGAGGUCAGGAUAAACCCGCCUCCGGCGGGUAAACCUGAAGGAAAGUGGCACAGAAAAUAUACAGCCGAACUAAACCCUAAAGGUUUGGUGGCGAAGGUGAAAACGGGAGGUAAGAGCUCCCGACGGUUUGACCGGUGACGGUCACGUGCUAAACCCCACGCGGAGCAAGACCAAAGAGAGCUAGAGUUGCUCGCUCGUUAUAAAGCUCGAGUAGGUCGCAUUGAGGUAGUCAGCAAUGGCUAUCCCAGAUAGAUGAUCAUCGUAAACAGAAUCCGGCUUACCGGUCUGCCCAAUUC
rnacentral:RNase_P_RNA from 4 species